GUGUGAGGGGUUGUGAUAUUUCCAAGUCCCAAUGCCAGCUCGAGCCUCUCUGGAAUGUGUGCCAAAGUCUUCCCACUGAGAAGAAUGCCUCACAUUAAGCGUGUCAUCCCUGGGCUGGCCCUCAGCUCCUUCCCCAGCUCGGGAGUUUCAGCUUUAACCUUCAUUCCUGUAUCCCAUUUCCCAGCCCCAUGGAAAAAAAAUGCUGUGGAGGGCUCUCCCCUCACCCCCAUCAUCCCUUUACACAUUAAUGUGAAAUGAAACGUUCUCAUGGUUGGCUGUUGAACAACAGACAGCAAUUCCUGCAUGGGGAAUUUUAAUGUCACAUUUCUUUCCUAACCUGGAUGAUGCUCAAUGUGCUUGUCACUGCAGCUUAGAAUUUGUGUGUGUCCUAGGACCCAGCCCUGCAGAGGUGACCAAAAAUUCAAAAAAGUCCAAAUUUGAACCCAAAGGAUGGAAAACAAAAGUUUUGUCUGGGUAAAACAUAUUUCAGAAAGACUUUCUGACAGGAUAUGUCUGUCCUCAAGAACAUCCUAAGACUUGUUCAGUAACACAUUUAGAAAUCCAGUUAACCACCAUGCACUUGCAGUUUAAUGGAAAUAAAAAGUACAGUCCAUUUUAAGACUGAUGGAAACUGAAACCCUUAGAAGAAUAUAAUCAGAUAUGUUUUCAAAUUAGGCCAAAAUUUUUAUGAGGCCAAGCUCAAAAAUAUUGAUGAUUUCUGAGCUGGACAGUAAGAAAUUUGAUCUUCAUUGUAUGGGUUUUUGAAAACUCCAAGAUAUUAGUCUCCAUCUUGACUUAUUUGGGCCUCAAAUAUUCUCCAUUUUUCUCAAAAUGUUGGAGCCAAGAGUUUGUCUGCAUGUGUUUGAGUAUAAAAUGAAGGAAGACACAAAAUAAACCUCCUCUGCAGGCACAGAACAAGGAGAUUUGACACUCUUUCUGUAAAAAGGGGAAUGGAAAUUGCCCUUCAAUUGUCAUUAUUGGCUCUGCUGAUUUCCCUGGUUUCAGUUUUCCUGGCAAGCUGGGUGUCCAUCGUAGCAGGAAGAUGAAUUUAAGAAUGUCUUAAUUCACAAUUAAUCUACGUGGCUUUCUAAAGUACAGGAGUAGGAAAAAAACAAACCAGUCUAAAGAAUUAAAAGAAAAUUGCUAAAAACAAUAGGCUUGUAAAAGCAGGCAUUUUAACUCAGUUUCCAAUUUAAGGAGAAGGAUUUUUAAUACUUUUCUUUGACAAGGUCAGUAAUUAUAGAAGGGAAGAAAAUCUUAAUAACUUUUUUAUUAUCUAAAUCUUUCUUUUUGAGACAGGCUGGGAGAAGAUAUCACAGAUUUGGACAAAAAAAAUACAGGAUAUCACAACUUAGUAGCAGUGGGAAAUACACAGGAAUACUGGUGUGAAAGUAUCAGACAGGUUGAAGUCUUCUACAAAAACAAGACAAAGAACCCCAUUUUGGAAAAAAAAAGUUUAAUAAUCUGUUUUCCCACGUUCUGAGGUCUGAAAGGGAAAAAACUGCUGGGGACUCACCCUCAAACACAGAAUUACCGGAUCAGUGAGGUUGGAAAAGAAUUCCAAGGUCAUUGAGCUGAACUUGUAACUGAUCCCCACCGUGUCAACCAGACCAUGGCAGGGGCGUUCCUUGGACACCUCCAGGGAUGGGGACACCACCAACUUCCUUCCAAUGCUUAUCAACCCUUCCUAGGAAGAAAUUCCCCCUGGUGUCCAACCUGAACCUCCUCCAGUGCAGCUUAAGGCAAAUUCUUCUUGUUCUGUCAGAAUGUCACAGUCUCAGGAUUAUGGCCACACAGAUGAGGGGCUGGGACAGUCUUGACCUCUUUUUUGGCAAGUGAGAGGAUGAAGUUGCUUGGAGCUUCCACAGAGAACCUCUGAUCCCAUUUCCCACAGUUUGUUUGUUCCUACACUGUCUUUAACCUUAGGCACUCAUAGACACCCUGAAGAGUCUCUCCAAAGUGAGUUGAGCUCCCCUCUUGGCUAUGCUCGUGAAAAUCCAGACACUCCUUUGGAAGUAACCUGGGUUUUGAUCUUUGAUUGACUUUGGCUACUGCAGGAGCUGAUCCUCCAGGAUGCUGAGCCCUUCUGUAAAUCUGAAAUGUUUGGUUGUGAUUUCACUACUGCAAACCCCUGGUUCAAUGGGGCGAGGGACCUUCCCACAGCCAGAGCAACAGCUGAGUGACGUGACCCCCAGAGAGGACUGAAGUGACCCCCAUGGAGGACUGGGCCUGUGGUUUGUUUAUGGAAAACCGAUCUGGGGCUGGAGCAGUGAUUACACAGAGCACUCGCCGGCUCCUGCUCCGUCCCCGUGCCAACAACAACAGCGCAACGCUCCGAGUCAAACCUGCUCACAGGGCCGCAGCUGAGUCAAUGGAUGGGACUCCUGCCAGCUCCCAGCCAGCCAGGGGUGGUUUGUUCCUCUUUAAGUCACUCGGAUCACGUUCAUCUCCGAUGCUGGGUGAAAUUCAGAGGUGCCGCAGGAAUACGCCGGGAAUGUUUUGAGAGCUUUGGCACCAUCCCCAACGGCAGCAGAGACCAACCAAUCAGGGUUAUCUCCUUCCUUUGUCCAUCCCAUGACACUUCCCAGCUCCUCUCAGCUUCUAAUUUAGCCUUCCCAUGGAAUAAUAUGCUGCAGAUUAUUUAACUAUGUCUUCGCUUUUAAAAUUGGAAUGUUUGCAUUUCCUUACCCACAUUGAUCAGUGAACUUAAGGCAUGGGUAAUGUGCAGGGAAGAGUCAAGAAUAUAAAUAUUAUAGGCAGAAGAAAUAGUUAGAAUUAAGCACAGUUACCUUUAAUAACCCUGUAUGUAUGUUAUAUACAUAAACAAAUAUUUGCUGUAAUCUCAAGUGAGAUGUAUACAUGUAUAAGAUGCCUAUGAGUACUGUCUAUAAAAAUCAGUGUUUUAAAAGAUAGAAAUACUUGUUGAGGGCCAAACAGCUGCUAGUUCAUCAUCAUUGGGAGGCAUGAUAGAAAUAGAAAUUAGAAAUAGAAAUAGAAAUAGAAAUAGAAAUAGAAAUAGAAAUAGAAAUAGAAAUAGAAAUAGAAAUAGAAAUAAUAAACCUUUGAAAGUCAAAAGGUAAUUUUUUAAACUCUCCUGCUGAGCACUGAAAGACAAAAAUCAUGGGAGUACCAAGGAAAAGGAGUUCAGAGGUCAGCAUGAUGGAAAAACAAAGAUCCUCCCCUGUAAUAAAUCAAUACACUUUAAAUUUAAUCCUCAACUUCUUUAAUUCUCACAAAGAAAUAAUUUCUUUGUAAAAUUUUGAUGCUGCAUUUAGUUGUUUAUUCAGGAAACACAAGCAAAAAAGUGUAACUUUUAAUGCUAUAAUUUCUUGUAGCUGCACUGAAGCAAAAGAAACAGCUGCUGUUGAUCUAACACAUCUUAGCACCUUUCUAAAACAUCUUCUAAUGCCUCUAAGCACUCUCUUGAGGUUUUGUCAUUUUGUUUUAAUUAGAUGGGGGGGGGAACCUCUAGAAAGAUAAAGGCAAAUCUUCAAGGAAUGGAAUGCAAAGAUCUGUGGGCUAAGGGAAAAGAAAACAUCCAAUUUUAAAGGAGGACAAAAAAAGGCAAAUAGUAAAAUUCAAAUUGUAAAUUUAUUAAUACUAUUCAGAAAUUGCAAAACGUUUUCAGUGUAAAAUUCCCAAAAUUUUGGAACUGCUGCUAAAAUAGAAUACAAAUAAAUUUAUCUAGAAAAAUUAAUCAGAAGUACUAUUUGUAACAUUUUAAUAGAGAAUUUGACUUUAUGAAGUGAUAAUAGUAAAAUUUGGUUUAUAUUUGUUCAAAGAGACAAAACAUUUCUCAUUCAUAUAAUGAGAAUUAGAGGCAGAAAGUUGGCAUUCAUUAUUCUCUUAAGACUGUUGAGGUCUGAACUGAGGUACAGUUCUCUAUGUCUGUCACCAACAUUUUUGCUGAUCUUGGGGUUAAAUAUGAUCAGUGUGAUGAGUUUGGCCUGCAUAGGAAGGUUGUAUUGUGAGAUAACCUGAACCAUAACUCCCAGGAAUAUUGUAGAUAAAAGAGAGAAAGAGAGAGCCUGAUUAAUGAGAAACCAACCCAGAAGAGAUAAUUCUGCUUAAAAUAUAUUUAAUGUUUUAACAUUAAAUUUUAACAUUUAACAUUUAACUAAUAUAUUACUAUUUAUCUGGCUUUUAAAAUUUUAAUUUCUUUUAUUUCUUUUUUUCUUCCUCCAGUGAUCAACCAAAAAGCUUGGAGAAAACUCUUUUUUUUUUCCUAAAAAAAUGGCAGAAACCCCAGUUGCUAUUCUGGUCCUUGAUAAAAGAAUGGCUCAGCUGCAGAACUGGGAUGAGACAUGGGACAGACAGCAAAGCAUGUCUUCUCUGACUCAAACAUGGCCAGAACUGAGUCCCAGCAUCCCAGCUGACAUCUUACCAAGCACUUUAUGUAUUUCUUUGUAUGUCCCAGUAUGGAAUCUUCCUCAAAAAAGAAUGGUGCUGUGACUCCAAAUCUCCUGUUCCUCCAUCAUUAAAAACUGCAGGCACCUUUUCCCAGUCCUAGCAUAAGUAAUAGAACCAAACCUCUUCACAUGGUUUUAAUUUGAUUUUUUUUUCCUCAGCAUUUUUCUUACUGAUAGUCAUGCAAGUUCUCUUCAGCUAACUUGGAAUUAUUAAAAAAAUGAAAAAAAGAGUAGGGGUUCAAAGUGUGUUUAUAAUUACAAGGAAUGUAUUUUUUCCCAAAAUGUUGCCUAUCAUCAACUAGCCUUGUUUCUGAAUUAUUUCUGCAACAAAGACCACCUCUGAAAAAAAAAGGAUAGCAUCAGAAAAAGACAUAUAUUAUGUAAAUCUAAAAUAUGAGCUAAGCUGAUAAGUGAUGUAGCACAUUAGUACAUUGGAGAGAUUUGUAACCAUCCAUAAAUGUACUGCCAAAACACAGCUACAUAUUAGAGAGUAUAAAUCCCCUUUUGUAUAUCACUUAAUAGAUAGCUUUAUUUUGAUAUAGG